rnacentral:rRNA from 1 species
GUCUACGGCCAUGCCACCCCGAACAAGCCCGAUCCCAUCUGGUCUCAGAAGCUAAGCAGGGCCGGGCCUGGUUAGUGCUUGGGUGGGAGACCACCUAGGAAGACCAGGUGCUGUAGGCG